UGGAAUCAUUCAAAUGAAGUAAGGAGUAAAGAUGAACAUAUUUAAGUCAUUUUGCGGAUGACAAUUGAGGGUAUUAGUUAUGUUGGAAAGGACAGAGAUGACAAAUUUUUAAAUUAUCCAGAGUGGUUUAUUGCUGCCCAGAGUUACCCAUGAGACUCUGGAGAGAACCUGAGCCAAUCCACACAGUUUACUAACCCAAAGGAAGGAAGAGGUGUGAAGAAAAACAUGAAGGAAGAAAUAGAAAACUUCAGUGACUAUGUGUUUGGGCUUCAGUUCCAGUGUGGACUCCACAGAUGAUGAAGCAUGACAGGACAAUGCUGUCUCAGAAAAAAUGUGCCCAAGACGCCCUAGUCACUGAUGUGGAACAGGCAGAAGUCUACCCACUUGAAGUCUCCAAACUUGAAGUCGUUCCUUUGAGAGCUAAGCUAAUUGAAAACCUGCAACAUAUCUUCCUAUUCGUGUCUUCAACUGUUUUUUUUUUUUUUCUUUCAAACCCACUGAGUUUCAGUCAGUGCUGCUCACCAGAAUGACGACUGAUCUUGUUGAUUUGACUUGUGGAGGUAACUAGAGCUGUGAGGAGCCCAUGGGGGCUAUGACCAUGCCGUUUUCAGAAGACAUUUUACAAUAUUUCUCCCUAACUUUCUGCUCUUACUUUCCUCCCUCCCUCUAUUUUAGAUCAUACCCUAAGUCUCGUGGGGAUUGAUAAAGAUGUAUCACUUAGGACUGAUCAUAAUGAUGGUUACUUAUUCUCGGUACUUUGACUUUAUGAUUGCGUCUUCGUAUCAUCUCUUACCUACUGCUCAGAGAAGCUUCUCUGGCCAAGGUUGAGAGCAGUAUUAAUCUAUGGCCUGAAAAUAGCAUAAUUUUUAUUCCAAGGCAGAGUUUCUCUGCAUAGCCUUGGUUGUCCUGGAACUUGCACUGUAGACCAGCUGGCCUUGACCUUACAGAGAUCCACCUCCCUCUGCCUGUCAAAUGCUGGGAUUAAAAGGCAUGUGCCACCACUGCCCACCUGAACUAGGAUAAACUGUAAAGACAUUUUGUAAAGAAAAUUCUCGAGGCUAAAAAGCCUAAGAGCAUGCCACGCGUGGCUAGAGAGAAGCUUUGUACUGCGCCUUAAUGCAGAAGGACAAUAGCAUACUUGAGAGCAGAAAUGAGCUCGGAUAAUAAUCCCACAGGUGAGAUCAUGUUCUCAGUCCAUGAAGUAAUGUGGGGGCCCUGGUAACCUACACAUUUUUCAGGUGGAACCCCCUAUAACACACUUGGGGUGACAUUUCCAGCACAUGAAUCUGGAGGGAUACACUUUACCCGUGGUAAAAAUAGAAUUAGAGGGGGGUCUCCCUAAUAUAGAUGUUUUUCCAGACCUACUCUGCCAGGGAAAUGGAAAAUGAAGAGAUCCAGUAGUUUCAGAAGAUUCCAGUAACUUGCAGGAGGAAAAUCUUCCUGUUGUAGGAAAGAAGAAAAUGACCCAGGACUUGGAGAUGAUAGUCCCACGGCUUGAGAAAUGAGGUGAGCUGCAGCAGUAAGAUCUGGGAAGUAGGGAGGAAGGUUGUUUGGGACUUGACUCAGAUGAAUCUUGUCAUCAGAAGUGUGGCGUCAGCAGAACCAAGUGGGAAAAUGGUAUGGCUAAGUCUUGUAUUGAUCAUGGUGAUGAUAUGAGGGACAGCUGGUAAGGGACAGUAGGUCAGGUAUGUCACAGAUGAGAAUCAUGGGUCAAGGGAGCAGUAGGGCAAUUCCAUAAGAUCUCCUUUAACUCAGUGUCUCCAAUGGUCAUGGGCUUGUCAAAUUCAGCUGUUACUCUUCUGAUCUCAUCUUCUGUGGCACUGUUGUCAUGACAACCUUUAUGACCUUUGUUCCCUUAGCUUCCGAGUUGUUGCUUUUUUUUCUUCUGCUCUCUUUCCUUCCCCCUAGCCAAUUACCCUCCGUUGUCUCACUUUCCUCUGCUGUCUCUAGACACUGAUCACCACAGGACUCAUGUCUUGGCUCCCAGUCUUAAUCUGAAACUCCUCCUAGAGUUUACACAUCGUUGUUUUGGUGGUAACUCCAAAACUUGAAAUUUUAUCUAACAUUAGUAUCUGCCAUAUAUAUUUAUAAUAUAUACCAUUGUGUAUGAAAACUCUACCUAUAACUUACACAUAUAUAAAAUGUAUGUGUAUUUAUAUUAUUUGCACACAUGCACACAUAUGCAUAUGCACAUAUGAAUCCCUUUGGAAAUGAAAUGGAUCUCUAAAACUUAGAGCUGAAUGAGCUAGAAUGAUGAGCUCAGACCGCACGGUCAUAGCUGACUGGUGUAAUGAAUGCUUCAUAGUUGGUUCAUUUUGCUAUGUGUUCACAUGGCAGAAGGGGCUGCCUUUCUGACAUAUCUCAUGAAUUCAGUCCAGUCCAUGAGGAUUUGCCCUCAUUUCCUAACCAGUCCCUAAAGCCAUCUCAUUGGAUUACAUAUAUAAUUAUAUUACUCUGGGAUGGCUACAAUCAUUCAGGCAAUAGCAGUGACUACACCAGCUCCCAUCUCUAUUAGCUUUGUACAAGAAUUCUCUUUGUUGCAUGUCCUUGCCAAUAUUUGGCAUUGUUUGCCUUUUAAUAAACUGUACACUGAAUUAAAUAUAACAAGUGCAUGUAUUUAUGUGCUAUGUAUAACCAAUAAAUUUCAUUAGAUCUUCAUUUAUACUUUCCUGAUUGCUGAUGAAAU